AAAUUAUCGGUCACAAACUAACAAUUUGUUAGGUCACGCAUAAUUUUCUUGUCACAAUUUAUCUUUUUCAUUAGUCACAUAUUAUUUAUUGAUCACAAAUUAAUCAAUUUAGAUAUCACAAUCAACCAAAUAAUUUGUGACCAACAAUUACGACCACAAUCUCACCAUUGCCUCUAGUAGCAUCACCACCACCGUCAUCGCCAAAACCACCCACACCAUCUCGUAAAAGCAACACCACCACAAGGCACAAACACCCCACUCCACCCUAUCCCACACCUAUCCAGCUCAACUCGAUACCACAACCACGAUAAGACCAUCGUCGCUAGAUGCACCGCCAUUAUCACCACAACCACAACCACAACCACAGCAACACCAUCAUGAGUAGCAUCACUAACACCCAUAAUGAUUGCACAACUACACCACAUCAAAAUACCACCACGCCAACAAAAAAAUAUCCAAAAUAACCAAAUCUAAAAUUAACAUCACUACAACCCCACGACAAGCACCAUCAUCACAACCACCACACCCAAGUGGAUUCACCAAAACCAUCUCAAAGUAGAUCUAAUCAGAGCCGAAGAUAACGUUGCAGCUGCUGAAAACCAUGGCAGCAUGAAAACUACCCCAAGCUACUGGGUCGUAAUGUCGAUGCUCUCAGAUCUUCAAACACUGGGAUGAUUCCGCCACUGCAGCUUGCUUCGUCUGUGUUGUGUGUGUGUGUUCUAGAUCAUGUCUGGAGUGUUGCGAUCACAACGCCGACAUAGUCUCCAAUGAUGGUUUCCUAAUGUUCACGCAAUGACGAUGACGAUGAUGUAGUAGCGUUAACAAGGUGGUGCGGUGGCUGCCAGAGAGAUGAGAGAAGUUAGGAUAGAGAGAUGAGGUAUGAUGAAUAUGUAUAAUUAAUUUUGUAAUAUAAUUAUUAAUAUUUAAAAUAUAUUAAUUAAUUAACAAAAUAUCUGAUUUUUGAAAUAGUAAACUGAAUCUGUGAUUUGUCCGAAAAGGCCGCCUUAAUUAUAUACACAUAGAAACAGAGGCGAAAAUGAGGGAGGCAAACCGUCGCUGCGAACAUGAGGCACCACUAAAAUUGGGGAAUUACACAGAAUAGAUACACAUAUACAGAGACCAAAAAAAAAUUCAAUUGGCAGCUUCUUUUGGAGGAUGCAUUAAGGGAAUUGAACUCUUCAUUAAACGACACAGUGGCGGCUAGAGAAAAGAAGAAAAGGAAAAUACACGCACGCGGACUAAAGAAAGGCAGACAGGGACAACACAAAAUUGUAGAAUUAAUUAUGUUUCAUCGAUUUUUUGUGAUAUCUUUUCACUUUUAUUUGUUUAAUUUCGAC
rnacentral:lncRNA from 1 species